rnacentral:rRNA from 1 species
ACUCCUACGGGAGGCAGCAGUGGGGAAUUUUGGACAAUGGGGGCAACCCUGAUCCAGCCAUUCCGCGUGAGUGAAGAAGGCCUUCGGGUUGUAAAGCUCUUUCGGCAGGAACGAAACGGUGAGCUCUAACAUAGCUUGCUAAUGACGGUACCUGAAGAAGAAGCACCGGCUAACUACGUGCCAGCAGCCGCGGUAAUACA